rnacentral:tRNA from 12 species
GGUGUAGCUCAGUCGGUCGAGUGCUUUCCUUGCACACGGGAGCCACGGGUUCGAUUUCCACAAUU